UGCAUGCAGUCGAACGGUCCUCCCGGGCUUGCCCGGACAGGACAGUGGCGAACGGCUGAGUAACACGUAAGUGACCUGCCCCGAAGUGGAGGAUAAACCCGAGAAAUCGGGUCUAAUACUCCGUAAGUUCCAGCGGCUACGGCUGCUGGAGGAAAGGCAUUCGAUUCGUCGGGUGCCGCUUUGGGAGGGGCUUGCGGCCUAUCAGGUAGUUGGUGGGGUAAUGGCCUACCAAGCCUAAGACGGGUAGCCGAUGUGAGAGCAUGAACGGUCAGAGGGGGACUGAGACACGGCCCCCACUCCUACGGGAGGCAGCAGCAGGGAAUCUUGCGCAAUGGGCUAAAAGGCCUGACGCAGCGACACCGCGUGGGGGAUGAAGGCUUUAGGGUUGUAAACCCCUUUUCUCGGGGAAGAGUGAGGACGGUACCCGAGGAAUAAGCCUCGGCUAACUACGUGCCAGCAGCCGCGGUAACACGUAGGAGGCGAGCGUUGUCCGGAUUUACUGGGCGUAAAGGGCGAGUAGGCGGCCCGCCAAGUCUCGUGUGAAAUCUCCCGGCUCAACUGGGAGGGGUCAUGGGAAACUGGCGAGCUUGAGGUCAGCAGAGGAAAGUGGAAUUCCCGGAGUAGCGGUGAAAUGCGUAGAUACCGGGAGGAACAUCAGAGGCGAAGGCGACUUUCUGGGCUGCACCUGACGCUGAGGCGCGAAAGCGUGGGGAGCAAACCGGAUUAGAUACCCGGGUAGCCCAUGCCCUAAACGAUGGAUACUAGGUAUGGGGGGGUAUCGACCCCCUCCGUGCCGUAGCUAACGCGUUAAGUAUCCCGCCUGGGGAGUACGGCCGCAAGGCUAAA
rnacentral:rRNA from 1 species